rnacentral:rRNA from 1 species
GCUACCUGGGGGCGAGCAGCGAGGGUAAUACAGAGGUUGCAAGUGGUGUGCGGAUUCACGGGGGGUAAAGGGUGCGUAGGUGGCGGAAUAAGUCGGAUGUGAAAUCUCCGAGCUCAACUCGGAAACUGCAUUGGAAACUGUUCUGCUCGAGGGUUGGAAGGGGGACUGGAAUGCUUGGUGUAGCAGUGAAAUGCGUAGAUAUCAAGCGGAACACCAGUGGCGAAGGCGAGUCCCUGGACAACUCCUGACACUGAGGCACGAAAGCUAGGGGAGCAAACAGGAUUAGAUACCCUAGUAGUC